GAUAAACGCUGGCGGCGUGCAUAACACAUGCAAGUCGAACGAUGAAACUUAGAUGAUUUCUUCGGAAUGAACUUAAGUGGAUUAGUGGCGAACGGGUGAGUAACACGUGAGUAACCUGCCUUACACAAGGGGAUAGCCUCUGGAAACGGAGAAUAAUACCCUAUAAAGUCUAAUCAGCUCCUGCUGGAAAGACCAAAGAUUUAUCGGUGUAAGAUGGACUUGCGUCUGAUUAGCUAGUUGGUGAGAUAAAAGCUCACCAAGGCGACGAUCAGUAGCCGGCUGGAGAGAGUGUACGGCCACAUUGGGACUGAGACACGGCCCAAACUCCUACGGGAGGCAGCAGUGGGGAAUUUUGCACAAUGGGGGAAACCCUGAUGCAGCGACGCCGCGUGAUUUAGAAGGCCUUCGGGUUGUAAAAAUCUUUUUUACGGGAUGAAAAUGACAGUACCGUAAGAAUAAGGUCCGGCUAAAUACGUG
rnacentral:rRNA from 1 species